GAUGAACGCUGGCGGCGUGCUUAACACAUGCAAGUCGAACGAAGCGCUUUGAAAGCUUGCUUUUAGAGUGACUGAGUGGCGGACGGGUGAGUAACGCGUGGGUAACCUGCCUUAUACAGGGGGAUAACAGUUGGAAACGACUGCUAAUACCGCAUAAGCGCACAGUAUCGCAUGGUACAGUGUGAAAAACUCCGGUGGUAUAAGAUGGACCCGCGUCUGAUUAGCUAGUUGGUGAGGUAAUGGCGCACCAAGGCGACGAUCAGUAGCCGGCUUGACAGAGUGGUCGGCCACAUUGGGACUGAGACACGGCCCAAACUCCUAAGGGAGGCAGCAGUGGGGAAUAUUGCACAAUGGGGGAAACCCUGAUGCAGCAACGCCGCGUGAGUGAAGAAGUAUUUCGGUGUGUAAAGCUCUAUCAGAAGGGAAGAUAAUGACGGUACCUGACUAAGAAGCCCCGGCUAACUACGUGCCAGCCGCCGCAGUCAGAC
rnacentral:rRNA from 1 species